rnacentral:rRNA from 1 species
GAGCGGUAACAGGUGUAGCAAUACAUGCUGACGAGCGGCGAACGGGUGAGUAAUGCUUUGGAAUCUUCCCAGUAGUGGGGAAUAACUAGCCGAAAGGUUAGCUAAUACCGCAUACGACCUACGGGUGAAAGCAGGGGAUCGCAAGACCUUGCGCUAUUGGAUGAGCCGAAGUCGGAUUAGCUAGUUGGUAGGGUAACGGCCUACCAAGGCGACAAUCCGUAGCUGGUCUGAGAGGACGACCAGCCACACUGGGACUGAGACACGGCCCAGACUCCUACGGGAGGCAGCAGUGGGGAAUAUUGGACAAUGGGGGAAACCCUGAUCCAGCGACGCCGCGUGUGUGAAGAAGGCCUGCGGGUUGUAAAGCACUUUUAGUGGGGAUGAAAAGCCAAUAGCUAAUACCUGUUGGUAUUGACCUAACCCACAGAAAAAGCACCGGCUAACUCUGUG